CCCUUAGAUGUUCUGGGCUGCACGCGCGCUACACUGAAGCGUUCAACGAGUAUUCACCUUGCCCGGGAGGGUUGGGUAAUCUUUUGAAAACGCUUCGUGAUGGGGAUAGAUUAUUGCAAUUAUUAAUCUUCAACGAGGAAUUCCUAGUAAGCGCGAGUCAUCAGCUCGUGCUGAUUACGUCCCUGCCCUUUGUACACACCGCCCGUCGCUCCUACCGAUUGAGUAAUCCGGUGAAUAAUUCGGACUGCAGCACUGCUUGGUCUCCAGGCUUUGCAGCGGAAAGUUUAGUGAACCUUAUCACUUAGAGGAAGGAGAAGUCGUAACA
rnacentral:rRNA from 1 species